UGCCAGCAGCCGCGGUAAUACGGAGGGUGCAAGCGUUGUUCGGAAUUAUUGGGCGUAAAGCGCGUGUAGGCGGUUCGUUAAGUCUGAUGUGAAAGCCCGGGGCUCAACCCCGGAAGUGCAUUGGAAACUGGCGAACUUGAGUACGGGAGAGGAAAGUGGAAUUCCGAGUGUAGGGGUGAAAUCCGUAGAUAUUCGGAAGAACACCAGUGGCGAAGGCGGCUCACUGGCCCGGUUCUGACGCUGAGGUGCGAAAGCGUGGGCAGCAAACAGGAUUAGAUA
rnacentral:rRNA from 1 species